rnacentral:rRNA from 1 species
GCACAAGCGGUGGAUGAUGUGGUUAAUUCGAUGCAACGCGAAAACCUUACCACCUUGACAUGUACGGAAUCCUUUAGAGAUAGAGGAGUGCUCGAAAGAGAACCGUAGCACAGGUGCUGCAUGGCUGUCGUCAGCUCGUGUCGUGAGAUGUUGGGUUAAGUCCCGCAACGAGCGCAACCCUUGUCAUUAGUUGCUACAUUCAGUUGGGCACUCUAAUGAGACUGCCGGUGACAAACCGGAGGAAGGUGGGGAUGACGUCAAGUCCUCAUGGCCCUUAUAGGUGGGGCUACACACGUCAUACAAUGGAUGGUACAAAGGGUCGCCAACCCGCGAGGGGGGAGCCAAUCCCAUAAAGCCAUUCGUAGUCCGGAUCGCAGUCUGCAACUCGACUGCGUGAAGUCGGAAUCGCUAGUAAUCGUGGAUCAGAAUGUCACGGUGAAUACGUUCCCGGGUCUU